UAAGUAUUCCCUCCGUCCGAUAAUCCUUGUUGGAGAAAUGAAUAAAAAUGGAUGUAUUUUGAACAAAAAUAUAUCUAGAUACAUCCAUUUCUCCGACAAAUAUUUCCGGACCGAGAGAGUAUUAU
rfam:Triticum urartu cultivar G1812 contig382732, whole genome shotgun sequence.